CCCUCUUUCAAUGUCAUUUGUAUAAAAAACAAAACAAAAAAUUUGUCACUGAACAUUUGAACUAAUGGGUGCCAGAUCUAGAUGGAUAAGUUUGAUGCGGGGAACAUUGGGCCAUGAUGAGGAGGUUGAUGCUAUCUGGAAUGCACCGACAAUGAUGAUCUGGUUGGACUUUUGGAAGCCUACUCAAAGCUAAGGCUAGCUAAGGCUGUGUAGCCAAUGCCCAGAACUUUAUCCAAAAGUUGAGGCCAAUUUAUGACACUGGUUUUUCAGAACUCCGAGUCGCAUUCAGAGCAUAUAGGCAAGGCUCACCUGCUCCCCAUACAAAAUUCAUCUUAUAUCUAGUUUCUUCUGCUUCUGUUCCCAAACUUGAGGACAAAAACCAUCAAAUUCUUUUAUCCUCUCUGAUCUAUAGCCCAACAGAUAUGAGCAUUUUGAGGGCUAUGAAUCAAGACAUGUGUAGCUGGCUUGAGGAACCUCCCACAUGUAGAUAUAAAUAAGGAGGUUUGUUGUCUCUGCCUUACUUUACCAGAAGUGGUUGGCAGAACACCAAGUCAAAGAGACUCAAAAUGCAUCUUGAAAUUUCCAAAGAAAAUGGUCUUUGGGAUUAAGUUUGCAGGACUGUCAUGCUUGGUGUUCUUCUGUUCAUGCCUUUACAUUCUUAAUCUCUUCCUGUCCUUUUGGUGUGUAUGGUUCUGUUUUGGUUCUUAAACUGAUGUCCUGUUUUGCUUCUUUGGUUAAAAUCUAUGCGGCCAAAGUGGAUUUG